rnacentral:rRNA from 1 species
CACGUAGGGCGCAAGCGUUGUCCGGAAUUAUUGGGCGUAAAGAGCUCGUAGGCGGUCUGUUGCGUCCGCUGUGAAAACUCGGGGCUUAACCCCGAGCCUGCAGUGGAUACGGGCAGACUAGAGGUAGGUAGGGGAGAAUGGAAUUCCCGGUGUAGCGGUGAAAUGCGCAGAUAUCGGGAGGAACACCGGUGGCGAAGGCGGUUCUCUGGGCCAGUACUGACGCUAAUGCGCGAAAGCGUGGGGAGCGAACAGG